rfam:Basidiobolus meristosporus CBS 931.73 K493scaffold_495, whole genome shotgun sequence.
GGAGAAAUGGCCAAGUUGGUCUAGGACAUCACUUCAAGGUCAUGUUCUCUUUGAAGGUGUGGGUUUGAAUCCUACUCUCUUCA